UACGUAGGGACCAAGCGUUGUUCGGAUUUACUGGGCGUAAAGGGCGCGUAGGCGGCAAAUUAAGUCAUCUGUGAAAUCUCCGAGCUUAACUCGGAACGGUCAGGUGAUACUGCGGGGCUAGAGUGCGGAAGGGGCAACUGGAAUUCUCGGUGAAGCGGUGAAAUGCGUAGAUAUCGAGAGGAACACCUGCGGCGAAGGCGGGUUGCUGGGCCGACACUGACGCUGAGGCGCGAAAGCCAGGGGAGCGAACGGG
rnacentral:rRNA from 1 species